GUGGGGAAUCUUGCACAAUGGGGGAAACCCUGAUGCAGCGACGCCGCGUGAACGAUGAAGCCCUUCGGGGUGUAAAGUUCUUUCGACAGGAACGAUAAUGACGGUACCUGGAGAAGAAGCUGCGGCUAACUACGUGCCAGCAGCCGCGGUAAUACGUAGGCAGCGAGCGUUGUUCGGAGUUACUGGGCGUAAAGAGUGCGUAGGCGGCGAGCCAAGUUUGGUGUGAAAUCUCCCGGCUUAACCGGGAGGGUGCGCCGAAAACUGGUUGGCUGGAGUAUGGGAGAGGAAAGCGGAAUUCCUGGUGUAGCGGUGAAAUGCGUAGAUAUCAGGAGGAACACCUGCGGUGUAGACAGCUUUCUGGACCAAAACUGACGCUGAGGCACGAAAGCGUGGGUAGCAAAC
rnacentral:rRNA from 1 species